rnacentral:rRNA from 1 species
GACGAACGCUGGCGGCGUGCCUAAUACAUGCAAGUAGAACGCUGAAGAGAGGAGCUUGCUCUUCUUGGAUGAGUUGCGAACGGGUGAGUAACGCGUAGGUAACCUGCCUUGUAGCGGGGGAUAACUAUUGGAAACGAUAGCUAAUACCGCAUAGCAAUGGAUGACCCAUGUCAUUUAUUUGAAAGGGGCAAAUGCUCCACUACAAGAUGGACCUGCGUUGUAUUAGCUAGUAGGUGAGGUAACGGCUCACCUAGGCGACGAUACAUAGCCGACCUGAGAGGGUGAUCGGCCACACUGGGACUGAGACACGGCCCAGACUACUACGGGAGGCAGCAGUAGGGAAUCUUCGGCAAUGGGGGCAACCCUGACCGAGCAACGCCGCGGGAGUGAAGAAGGUUGUCGGAUCGUAAAGCUCUGUUGUAAGUCAAGAACGAGUGUGAGAGUGGAAAGUUCACACUGUGACGGUAGCUGACCAGAAAGGGACGGCUAACUACGUG